AAAGAGAAAACAAGUAACCACUCUAGUGCAGCCCAAAGUAAGGGGAAGGUUUCGUCUUCACAAAUCUACUCAAAGUGAAAAGUUGAAGUGGUGCAGUCGGUAGAUGACGAAGGGGCGCCAGAGGGCAAGCCCGACCACCGGAUUGCCCUGCGAGUGAAUGAUUGGGGAAUUUGACCCUGAUCCUCGGCAGCGUGGGUACGAUUGCGUCAAAGUGGAUGUAGCGGAAGGCGAUGACGGUGACGGCGGCGGCUGUCUGCGCCCCCCAGCCUCUCUCCAGUACCUCGAGGGCACCAUGGCCGAACAAGCGCAGGGUGUCGCCGUCCAGCUCGGCUAAAUGACUGUCGGACAGCGAUAGGCUCGUCACGCUUCCUGCUUCUGUCAGCCUGAAAUAUACACAAAACCAUUGUUGUUUUUGUUUUGCCGGGCCGACGAAACCCGAAAACCUGGCCAAAAGGCCAAACUCUGCGCGUUCACCUUAGUCUUAACUAGGGCUGUCAAAAUUAUCGCGUUAACGGACGGUAAUUAAUUUUUUUAAUUAAUCGCGUUAAAAUAUUUGACGCUUGGGUGCGACUGAUUUUAUGGGCUUAAGCACCCAUGAGCAUUGUGUAAUUAUUGACAUCAACAAUGGUGGGCUACUAGUUUAUUUUUUGAUUGAAAAUUUUACAAAUUUUAUUAAAACAAAAACAUUAAGAGGGGUUUUAAUUAGGGCUGUCAAACGAUUAAAAUUUUUAAUCGAGUUAAUUACAGCUUAAAAUUAAUUAAUCGUUAUUAAUCGCAAUUAAUCGCAAUUCAAACCGUCUAUAAAAUAUGCAAUAUUUUUCUGUAAAUUAUAUAUAUAUUCUGUAAAUUAAAUUGUUGGAAUGGAAAGAUAAGACACAAGAUGGAUAUAUACAUUCCACAUACGGUACAUAAGGACUGCAGUGGGCAUUUCACUGUACUGUCAUUUAAAUCUGUCUGUGCUGUCCUCACUCCGAAGCGUCUACUUUUUCCAAAGCUAGACAGCUAGUGAACGACGCCUUAAUAAUUAGACUUCUUCCUUUUUCAUCUGAUUUAUUAAUAAAAUGGGCUCAAACCAUUCUCCUCUUUAGACCGUCGUAAAACUACAAAAUAAAAGUACACAAGCAUUGCAUUAGCAACAACGUUAGCUUAGCACGCUAUACAGGUUCACUAAACAUAAACAAAAAGCGUCUCAUACAAAAAAUAUAACAUUUCGCUUACUAACAUAAUAUGUACAUUCUUUACAACAACCAUACUUACGGACAAAUCUUGUCCAAGGAUCAUAUAAGCACCACAUUAUCAGCCCGAGACGUCGUGCAGCCAUAUUGAACUGGACUGAAAACAAUAAACCAUGUCGCAAAGCGACCACAAGAGUUUGCUGUUGGACAGCACAAAAAGCCUUGCUGUAAAACUUACCAAAAGGCAGAAUAGUUUCUGAGCGGGACAUGUGCGUUAAUUGCGUCAAAUAUUUUAACGUGAUUAAUUAAAAAAAUUAAUUACCGCGCGUUAACGCGAUAAUUUUGACAGCCCUAGUUUUAAUAUAAAAUUUCUAUAACUUGUACUAACAUCUUUUAAGAACUACAAGUC